rnacentral:rRNA from 1 species
AACGCUAGCGGCAGGCCUAACACAUGCAAGUCGAGGGGCAUCGGGAUUGAAGCUUGCUUCAAUUGCCGGCGACCGGCGCACGGGUGCGUAACGCGUAUGUAACCUACCUAUAACAGGGGCAUAACACUGAGAAAUUGGUACUAAUUCCCCAUAAUAUUCGGAGAGGCAUCUCUCCGGGUUGAAAACUCCGGUGGUUAUAGAUGGACAUGCGUUGUAUUAGCUAGUUGGUGAGGUAACGGCUCACCAAGGCGACGAUACAUAGGGGGACUGAGAGGUUAACCCCCCACACUGGUACUGAGACACGGACCAGACUCCUACGGGAGGCAGCAGUGAGGAAUAUUGGUCAAUGGACGCAAGUCUGAACCAGCCAUGCCGCGUGCAGGAAGACGGCUCUAUGAGUUGUAAACUGCUUUUGUACUAGGGUAAUUUGCGGUACGUGUACCGUAUUGAAAGUAUAGUACGAAUAAGGAUCGGCUAACUCCGUGCCAGCAGCCGCGGUAAUACGGAGGAUCCAAGCGUUAUCCGGAUUUAUUGGGUUUAAAGGGUGCGUAGGCGGUUUGAUAAGUUAGAGGUGAAAUCCCGGGGCUUAACUCCGGAACUGCCUCUAAUACUGUUAGACUAGAGAGUAGUUGCGGUAGGCGGAAUGUAUGGUGUAGCGGUGAAAUGCUUAGAGAUCAUACAGAACACCGAUUGCGAAGGCAGCUUACCAAACUAUAUCUGACGUUGAGGCACGAAAGCGUGGGGAGCAAACAGGAUUAGAUACCCUGGUAGUCCACGCAGUAAACGAUGAUAACUCGUUGUCGGCGAUAUACAGUCGGUGACCAAGCGAAAGCGAUAAGUUAUCCACCUGGGGAGUACGUUCGCAAGAAUGAAACUCAAAGGAAUUGACGGGGGCCCGCACAAGCGGAGGAACAUGUG